rnacentral:rRNA from 1 species
AGAGUUUGAUCAUGGCUCAGGAUGAACGCUGGCGGUCUGCUUAACACAUGCAAGUCGAACGGUGUCUUCGGACACAGUGGCGGACGGGUGAGUAACGCGUGAGAAUCUGCCUUCAGGUCUGGGACAACAGAGGGAAACCGCUGCUAAUACCGGAUGUGCCGAGAGGUGAAAGCUUUAGUGCCUGAAGAUGAGCUCGCGUCUGAUUAGCUAGUUGGAGGGGUAACGGCCCACCAAGGCGACGAUCAGUAGCUGGUCUGAGAGGAUGAUCAGCCACACUGGGACUGAGACACGGCCCAGACUCCUACGGGAGGCAGCAGUGGGGAAUUUUCCGCAAUGGGCGCAAGCCUGACGGAGCAAGACCGCGUGCGGGAUGAAGGUCUAUUGAUUGUAAACCGCUUUUGUGAGGGAAGAAGCUCUGACGGUACCUCACGAAUCAGCAUCGGCUAACUCCGUGCCAGCCGCCGCGGUAAUUC